rnacentral:rRNA from 1 species
CAGUCGCCGCGGUAAUACGUAGGGUGCGAGCGUUAAUCGGAAUUACUGGGCGUAAAGCGUGCGCAGGCGGUUCGUUAAGACAGAUGUGAAAUCCCCGGGCUUAACCUGGGAACUGCAUUUGUGACUGGCGAACUAGAGUAUGGCAGAGGGGGGUAGAAUUCCACGUGUAGCAGUGAAAUGCGUAGAGAUGUGGAGGAAUACCGAUGGCGAAGGCAGCCCCCUGGGCCAAUACUGACGCUCAUGCACGAAAGCGUGGGGAGCAAACAGGAUUAGAUACCCCCGUAGUCCCUGUCUCUUAUAC